rnacentral:rRNA from 1 species
UACGGGGGGGGCAAGCGUUGUUCGGAAUUACUGGGCGUAAAGGGCGCGUAGGCGGCCUUCUAAGUCGGACGUGAAAUCCCUCGGCUCAACCGAGGAACUGCGUCUGAUACUGGAAGGCUUGAAUCCGGGAGAGGGAUGUGGAAUUCCUGGUGUAGCGGUGAAAUGCGCAGAUAUCUGGAGGAACACCGGUGGCGAAGGCGGCAUCCUGGACCGGUAUUGACGCUGAUGCGCGAAAGCCAGGGGAGCAAACGGG